rnacentral:rRNA from 1 species
AUGAUGUUGGUGGGGGGAGCGUCGUUCGCACUGGUGAUAUUGAUGGGGGGAGCGUCGAUCUCAGCAAUGAUGAUGAUGGGGGGAGCGUCGAUCUCAGCAAUGAUGAUGAUGGGGGGGAGCGUCGAUCGCACUGGUGAUAGUGAUGGGGGUAGCGUCGAUCUCACUGGUGAUAGUGAUGGGGGGAGCGUCGAUCUCACUGCUGAAGUUGAUGCGGGGAGCACUGAUCUCAUCGGUGGUGUCGAUGGGGGGAGCGCUGGUCUCAUCAGCCGCCUCCCCGACACCGUCCUUGGCAGCAUCGUGUCUCUUCUCCCCACCGAGGAAGGUGCCCGCACGCAGGUCAUCUCCCGCCGGUGGCGUCCCCUCUGGCGAUCCGCUCCUCUGAACCUCGCGGUGGACUGUGGACCCAAGAACAAGGACUUAAUUACAAAGAUCCUCUCUGAGCAUCCUGGCCCCGCACGACGCUUCUCCGUCUGCAUCGCUAGGGACAACGACAAGAUCGAUGGCUGGCUUAGUGCCCAAGCCCUGGACAACCUACAGGAGGUUGAGAUCACCUACAUCAAGGAGAAGUUUUGGGACAGCAACAUGGAGAAGUUGUUCCGCGUGGCCAAAUUCCACUACACCCUUUUCCCCUGCUCGAUUGUGCAGCUGUCCCUGAAGCUUCCGUGCCUCAAGCAGCUAACCCUGGAAAGGGUCACCAUCUCACAGGUCGUUCUCCGGAGCAUGCUCUCUGGCUGCCCUGCCUUGGAAAGCCUUGAGCUGAAGGAAAACUGGGGCAUUGGUCGCCUCUGCAUCAGCUCCCAAACUCUUAAGAGUCUAGGCUUUUGCGCUGACAAGAGGAUUGGAGGUAUCAUUUUGCAAGAGCUAGUCAUCAAGGACGCCCCGUGCCUUGAGAGAUUGCUACAACUUGAUGCAAAGGGCUGCAGAGCGAGCAUACGGAUAAUCUGCGCACCUAAACUGAAGAUAUUGGGUAUGCUGUCUGAAGGCAUACCUGAACUCCACCUUGGAAGUACAUUUUUUAAGAAAAUGGUUGCUGUCAGUUUGACAGCCAAAAUGCACACCAUGAGCAUUUUGGUUCUUCGCUCCGAUGGCCCUAAUCUGGAUUCAGUGGUUAACUUCCUCAAGUGCUUCCCUUGCUUGGAGAGGCUUUAUGUCAUUUUCCAGCCACUCUUACCCUCACGGGGGGCUAUGAAUAAUGUUCGGAAGUAUGACCCACUGGACCCAAUUGAAUGUCUUGAGCUUCAUCUAAAAAAAGUGGUAUUGAAGAAUUAUGAUGGCACCAAGAGUUCAUCUAUUGACUUUGCCAAGUUCUUUAUUCUGAAUGCGAAAGGGCUAAAGGAAAUGAAGAUCAUGUUGCCUUACCACCGCCAGCGCCAAUGGUGUACUAUUCAACUCCUUAACCUACGAGACUACGGUAGAGCUUCUCGGGAUGCUCGAAUUGAACUGAGAUGUGGCACUAAGGAUGAUUUCACGCACAACAUGCAUACCCAUGAUUUGUCAAUGGAUGACCCCUUUGACUUGCCCUCCAGUGUAUGCUCAACGUGUGAAGAAAAGGGUCUAGGAGACGUUGUAUACCAAAUUUAG